rnacentral:rRNA from 1 species
AAAUCCUGCCCUAUGAUUAAUUAAAUGGCUGCAGUAUUCUGACUGUGCAAAGGUAGCAUAAUAAUUAGUCUUUUAAUUGAAGGCUUGUAUGAAUGGUUAUAUGAGGGAUUUAUUUUAUUAUUAAUAGUUUUAUAAUUUGGUUAUUUAAGUUAAAAAGCUCAAUAGCUUAUUUGGGACGAUAAGACCCUAUAGAACUUUAUUUUUUAAGUAUAUUAGUUAUAUUUGGUAUUUAUAAGAUUAUAUUAUUUAUUUAAAAUUUUUUGUUGGGGAGAUAAAUAAAUAUUAACUUUAUUUUAUUAUUUCAUAAGUUUAUGUGAUUUUGAUCCAUUAUUUAAUGAUUAUAAGAUUAAGUUACCUUAGGGAUAACAGCGUAAUUUUUAUGAGGAGUCCAUAUCUAUAUAAAAGUUUGCGACCUCGAUGUUGAAUUA